UCGCGGCUUAUCACCGGCAGUCCCCUUAGAGUGCCCAACUAAAUGAUGGCAACUAAGGGCGAGGGUUGCGCUCGUUGCGGGACUUAACCCAACAUCUCACGACACGAGCUGACGACAGCCAUGCAGCACCUGUGUUCCCGCCAGCCGAACUGAAAAGGUCCAUCUCUGGUCUUCGCAACCGGGAUGUCAAGGGUAGGUAAGGUUUUUCGCGUUGCAUCGAAUUAAUCCACAUCAUCCACCGCUUGUGCGGGUCCCCGUCAAUUCCUUUGAGUUUUAAUCUUGCGACCGUACUCCCCAGGCGGUCGACUUCACGCGUUAGCUGCGGUACUAAGGAAGUCUCCUUCCCCAACACCUAGUCGACAUCGUUUAGGGCGUGGACUAC
rnacentral:misc_RNA from 1 species